rnacentral:ncRNA from 1 species
CCUCCGAAGUUUCCCUCAGGAUAGCUGGCACUCAUUCGCAAGAUCAGUUUUAUCCGGUAAAGCGAAUGAUUAGAGGUACUGGGUUCGAAACGAGCUCAACCUAUUCUCAAACUUUAGAUGGGUGAGAUGCCCGGCUCGCUUUGUAGGAGUCGGGCGCUGAAUGUGCGAGUGCCAAGUGGGCCAUUUUUGGUAAGCAGAACUGGUGCUGUGGGAUGAACCAAACGAAGUUUCCCUCAGGAUAGCUGGCACUCAUUCGCAAGAUCAGUUUUAUCCGGUAAAGCGAAUGAUUAGAGG